AACAUAUUGAAACGUAUAAUAUUUCGAAAAUAAAGACCACCGUAUGUUCAUAAUGGUUAUAUCCAGUGGGUAAUACACAUGCUGGUUCUUUUCUUUUUCAUAUCAUAUUCUCGAGAUCAUAUUUUAUUGCUAGAGAUGUUAAUUGGGUGUUAUAUCCUUCUAAUGUUACCUCUUUGAUUGACCCAAUUCUCGGAAGGAAGUAUUAUAUUGAAUACACCGUAUGUUAACCGUUAUCAUGUUUAUUCUUACAUCAGUAGAACUUUCGCGGUACAAUAAUAAUUUGGGAUUAUUGUGUGGCCAGUGAUGGAUUAUGUCGCGUGUUUUGUAAUACACGCAGUACUGUAAAGCGAAACGAGGUCAUUCUGUUGUGUACUUUAGUCAAAGGAAGAGAAAGAUGGAGUCCAUUAGAAAAAGAAAAUGAGACUGGUGGGAUUUCGUUUUAAAGGAAGAAGAGUCUGAAGCUAACGUGUAUACCUACGAGAGUUCUGGUAAGAUAUACUUUUUAAUUACUUUAUUGAAAAGCACUUUACGGCCAUAUGGGCCAAUGGCUUAAAACAUUAUACAUAAUAUACAGUUUACAUAAAACAAUGAAAAUAAACAAUGGAGACACUUUAAUCCAUAGAAAAGAUGAAGAGAAAAAAUAACCAAAUUGUGUUGAUAAUUAAAAUAUGAUUUAAUAUGAUUAGGCAGCAACCAUUUGAUUUUCUGGAGGGGGGUGGUCUAUGGAUUUUUUUUCUGGACAAACUUUUUUUUCGUCUGCGGGGAAAAACAAUCUAUUUCUUUCACGACAAGUCGAAAACAAUUCUUUUCUUUCAAUUUUAGCAGUACAUAUAGUGGCAGCUGAGGGUGAAACACAAGCGUUUUUUCUCAGAAUCAAAAACAAUUUUUUUCCCCUAAAUCCAUAGCCACGAAUAACAUUCAAAAAGGAUAUUUCUUAUUAAACUUUACAUUUACUUAGCAUGAUAACUUAGUACAAUAAGUGCCAAUUUUAAUUAAUGUCUAGCAGUUAUUAAAACAGUUUGGAAUGUUAUAUAUAUAUAUAAGUGUAUCUAUCUGCGGAAACAUGUUAUUUGCAUUUGUAUUAAGAUUUCAGUCAAAACUAUAAGAACAUAUUUGUUAACAUGGUUAAGUAAUUUAUUUACCAAAAUAAGGCUCGAUCCAGUCGGUAACCAUACUUGUACUUAGUUAAAAUGUGAUAAUUUCUAAAGCUUACUGCCAUUUAUGUGCCAGUUUUUUUGUGCAAUUUUAUAUCUCUAUGAUGCUCAAAUGAGAAGUGGUCAAUAUGAUGAGUACAGAUAUAAUUAGCAUAAUUGUGGGUGAAUUAGUACUUAUAACUUUAUUUAUCGCCAUUUUGUGCAUUUUUUCUUUGAUCUUUUUUUUGGAUUACAUUUUCAUUAUCAUGCUUUCUCUCUUGAGAUGGAAAAAAUUACGCUAGAAACUAAGAGACCACGUGCGUUGCUAACGAAAUUGACAUGAAAUGGAGCACGUCUCCAUAGGUAAAAAUAGGAUAAACAGAUUAGCAUUGGUCAUCUCAACUCUAUUGCUUGUUCUUCACUUUCGCUGUACAGCUCAAGCGAGAAAGUCAAAUCUCGUGAGAUGUCAUCAACGAUAAUCUAAAUAUUUCCACUGCCUAUCCUUAUUGGUUAUGUGUACUUCAAAGCAACUUAAAUAAUAUAAAUUUUCAAUGUUAAGAUAUUUUACUAGCUCUUUAUAUUUUGAAUUGUAUAUGUGUUGUUAUGACAUUCUAUCUCAUAUAGGGUCGAUUCGUUUUUGGAAAGCUUAUUGAAAAUGCUUCCUAUUAAUGAACUCUCAUUUAUAAUUAAGAAAUAAUGUGAUGCAGUCUUACGAUUUUUUUUCUAUAAUUUUCAUUUAAAAACAUAUAAACGGUAAAAAUAGACAAUAACUGCUUUAUAUGCUUAGAUAUGGUCAAAAUAUGAAAUUAGAAGAUGUGGUAUGAUUGCAUAUUGGCAAAGUCAAAUAUGUGUGAAAAUCCUGUUUUUUCAAUACAUUUUUAAUGAAAAAAAUAUAUACAAUUACUUGUUGUAUGCACUGUUUUCACUUUUUAUGAAACACUGUUUAAAACUGUGUAAUUUGUAUUAAAACAGACGAAUCACCAAAGAAAAAGAAUAACUCAACUUGAGUUCUGGUGGCCUGGGUGCAGUGAAUUCAAAAUAUCAACAGCGACCCUCAAAUACAGAAUAUGGAAGAAAAAGGUGAGGUUACAAAAUUGUAUUUGCAAACUUUACUUUAUAACUUCCAGGUGUCACUGCUAGUAGUCAGCGGAAUUACUUAAAUGAUCAAAUUUUAUUGUAGCUUUAUAUAUAUCAUACCAGGCGGAAACCCAGUUAAAAUCGAAGCUCUGUGUUAGAGAAGGCGAUAAAUGCUUACUGCAAUGUUUACUAUAGUAACACAAUUUUUAAAAAUUAAUAUAGAAAAAAACACAACGACAAUUUUCUUCUUUUAAAAACACCAUUUGCAUAAGUUUUCAAUUUAUCUACAUAUCAAUGCAGACCCAAUGC
rnacentral:lncRNA from 1 species